rnacentral:misc_RNA from 1 species
AGAGUUGCAAAACUCCCUUCAUACCAUCGCGAACGCUACCCGAUUCUCGUUGCUUCGGCGGGGGUCCCCUCUCCAAAACGGGAGCCCCCGCCGGAGGAACGCAGCCAUAUACUCUUGUAUUUGCUGGCCUCUCUGAGUACGAUUAUGCGAAUAAGUCA